GGCAACUGAGUCCCUGGUGCAGACUGCUUCUGACGAUGCCAUCGCUGUUGGUGGAGACAAAGAUGACCAAACAGUGGUUCCUAAGCCUAAAAGGAACACCAACUCCACCAAGUCAGGUGGGUUGGCCAAGAAACCGAAGCUGUAGCCAGUAGUCUGUUGUGCUUGCGGGCAUCGCCUGUAUAUAAGGUCCUCGUUUGUAUGGCUCUCGCUUCGUGCUUUGGUUCCUGCUGUAAGCUAUGCUCGCAUGAACCGCACGAAAAGCCUAUCAGUGUCUUAGUGUUGCUCACUGCCAAGGCAGCUUCACUGCCGAGCCAUCACCUUUCCACGCAGCGUUGUUCCCUUUGGGUUCUGUGGUUGCGGCCAAGCUAAUGUGAUGCUUUUGUUACACCGCCUCCAUGCUGCUGCUGGGUGUGCCUGGUUUGCUGCAGCGUGUUCCUUGUGUGGUGACUAUGUAACUGGCUAUGUAGUUUCUGUUGCGUGUAAGAGGACGCUACUCUAAAGCACGCUUUGUAGGUACACCCUCUGCUAGCAGGGGAGGAGCCCUACUGUCCCAUGUGCCCAUCUCACGGGCUAAGCUUAGACUAAACUUAUGUGCUCAUAUGUAUUGUACAGACUGUUGACUGAAACUCUGUUCUAUAUGGUGCUAUGUGUGUCGUCAGUUAUUGUUCAAGACCUAUCUGUGUUGUUUCUUGUUGUAUCCAA